rnacentral:rRNA from 1 species
CGGCGUGCCUAAUACAUGCAAGUCGAGCGAAGUUUUUCUGGUGCUUGCACUAGAAAAACUUAGCGGCGAACGGGUGAGUAACACGUAAAGAACCUGCCUCAUAGACUGGGACAACUAUUGGAAACGAUAGCUAAUACCGGAUAACAGUAUUUCUCGCAUGAGAGAUAUUUAAAAGUUGGUUAUGCUAACACUAUGAGAUGGCUUUGCGGUGCAUUAGCUAGUUGGUGGGGUAAAGGCCUACCAAGGCGACGAUGCAUAGCCGACCUGAGAGGGUGAUCGGCCACACUGGGACUGAGACACGGCCCAGACUCCUACGGGAGGCAGCAGUAGGGAAUCUUCCGCAAUGGGCGAAAGCCUGACGGAGCAACGCCGCGUGAGUGAAGAAGGAUUUCGGUUCGUAAAGCUCUGUUGUUAGGGAAGAAUGGAUAUGUAGUAACUAUACAUAUAAGAGAC